rnacentral:rRNA from 1 species
GAUUAUGGCUCAGGAUGAACGCUGGCGGCAGGCUUAAUACAUGCAAGUCGAACGGUAAGGCCGAGUGUAGCAAUACAUGAGGUACACGAGUGGCGCACGGGUGCGUAACGCGUAUGCAACCUGCCCCCGACCGGGACAAAACAGCUGGAAACGGCUGCUAAUAUCCCAUGGUCAUGCGGAAGGGCAUCCUUCUUCAUGUAAAGAUUCAUUGGUCGGGGAUGGGCAUGCGUAUUAUUAGGUAGUUGGCGGGGUAACGGCCCACCAAGCCGACGAUGAUUAGGGGUCCUGAGAGGGUUAACCCCCACACUGGAACUGAGACACGGUCCAGACUCCUACGGGAGGCAGCAGUAGGGAAUAUUGGGCAAUGGGAGCAAUCCUGACCCAGCCAUGCCGCGUGAAGGAAGACGGCCCUAUGGGUUGUAAACUUCUUUUGCCGCAGAGUAAACCCGGUCACGAGUGGCCGGUUGAGAGUAUGCGGCGAAUAAGUAUCGGCUAACUCCGUGCCAGCCGCAGC